AGGGAUAAACAUUUAUGGGUUUGGGAGGGGCUUGCGUCUGAUUAGGUAGUUGGCGGGGGUAACGGGCCACCAAGCCGAUGAUCAGUAGGGGUUCUGAGAGGACUUGGCCCCACAUGGGUACUGAGAUACGGACCCAACUCCUACGGGAGGCAGCAGUAGGGAAUAUUUGGGCAAUGGGCGCAAGCCUGACCCAGCCAUGCCGCGUGCAGGAUGAAGGCGCUCAGCGUCGUAAACUGCUUUUAUCUGGGAAGAAUAUUGGUUGUGCGCAGUCAAUUGACGGUACCAGAGGAAUAAGCACCGGCUAACUCCGUGCCAGCAGCCAGGGUAAUACGGAGGGUGCAAGCGUUGUCCGGAUUUAUUGGGUUUAAAGGGUGCGUAGGUGGGUGUUUAAGUCUGGUUUGAAAGCAAGCGGCUCAACCGUUUGAUGUGGCUGGAAACUGGGCAUCUUGAAUGGGUUAGCGGUAGCCGGAAUGGGUCAUGUAGCGGUGAA
rnacentral:rRNA from 1 species